rnacentral:rRNA from 1 species
GACGUAGGAUGCAAGCGUUGUCCGGAUUUAUUGGGCGUAAAGAGUUCGUAGGCGGUUCGUUAAGUCUGAUGUUAAAGAUCGGGGCCCAACCCUGAGAGUGCAUUGGAUACUGGCGAACUGGAGUGCAGUAGAGGCGAGUGGAAUUCCCAGUGUAGCGGUGAAAUGCGUAGAUAUUGGGAAGAACACCGGUGGCGUAGGCGACUCGCUGGGCUGUAACUGACGCUGAGGCACGAAAGCGUGGGGAGCAAACAGG